GUUACAGCACUGAAAUCAGAAAUCAAAACUUACAAUCUUAUUACAACUUAAACUACAUUAUCAGUUAAACCUCGAUAAGAAAAGUAACUGAUAACCAAAUAAAUAAAUUUGUUUACAACUAAACUGGAAUGGAACAAUUCUAACCAUAAUUGGUUUCACAGACGUCUCCCUGGCAUUCUCGCCUAACAUCAAUCUUACGCGCAGCUUUACCAACGAAUCAUCUCAAACCCUAACUGAAAGAAUUAAUAUAAUAGCAAGGGUGAGCGAAAAUGCUCAGCAAGAAAAUUUUAAAAGCAUAACCAUGUAAAUCCAUAAUAUGCAGGAAAUUUACUAAUCCAAUAGAUAAUGGAUUUCCAUUAAAAACAUUUAUAAUGCAAUUCCAAACUGGAGAGAGAGUUUCUAAACAUGAGAAACAUUUUGAAUCAAAUAAUUGAUUCACUUCAAAAUCUUUCAUACCAUUUUGAUUUGCAUUGCAGCAAAUCUCAUAAAAUAAUACCUUUGCAAGAAUUUCAGUAGAAAGGUCAUACCAUUUUGAUUUGCAUUGCAGCAAAUCUCAUAAAAUAAUACCUUUGCAAGAAUUUCAAAAAUCAAUCAUUUGAGAAGUUCAAAAUAACUUUUGAUAAUCAACUGUUCAUAAACCACAGUUCAAGAAAUCUCUAAAUAUUCAAUGUCCAUCAUUGUCGACUAAAUUUCCAUAUAUUUAGUUGCUGAACCAGCAUGACAAUGAUGAGUUGAAUAAAUAAGAAGAUCCCAACUCAUUCUUCGCACUAACUAUCACUGAGCAACAAAUGCUUCAGCGACAAUAUGAACUUCGAAUUUAAUUUAUAAAACUUUUCUGAAACUUAAUGCUAAUAAAGAAUAGCAUUAAUAUAUAAACCUUCCACAACAUUUUUAGGGAUUGGAAUAAUUUAACACCAUGCUAUAGCCGAUGAACAGUCGCGAGAUAGCACCGGAUCAUGCACGAAGCAUGUCACCAAAUUUUAAGGGAUCCAAGGCACACAUUGGCCUAAAUUGUACCUGGACCGGCGUUCGGUCCCCGAGGGUACUUCCAAUCACAAAAUAAGCAAGGUAUCGCAAAUCCGACAACCUUGUUUUAUAUCGAAACCAUAAUAAUAACCGUUAAAUUAACGGUUCAGCAUUUCUAAAACAUUUAAAGAAAAGUUCAUUUCAAGGAAAACAAUUCUAUAAAACAACAGUUGAUAAAAAUAUUGCAGAUAGUAUGUGAGUGUACACAUUUUAAAAUGAUCUUGUAAGUAACAAGAAUUUGCAAGCUCGAUACUUUUUAAGAUAAUUCAUAAAAUGUAAGCCAAAGAAAAUGGAGUAGUUGAAAAUCUCAGAACGAAUAAUUUAUGAGCUUUUUCGGCUCAUCUUUUUAAAUAAAGAGGGAAAAGGAUUUUAAAUAAAAUAUUAAUAGAUUAGGCAAAUAUUAUGUGCAGUAGCACAAGUAUGUUUCGAGUAAAAUGAAAUGAGAUAUUUUUGAUUAAAAGGGGUGUGAAAUAGAGAAAUGAUAGCAGUAGAUAAGAAUAAAAACACUUGCGUUAAUUAAAAGUAGUAGAUAAGAAAACUUGUAAUAACACAAGAAAUUAUUGCUGUUUAAAUAAUAAUAGAUAGAGUCACAUGCAUCAAAAGAUAUGAAUAGAAAUUUGUGAUAACACAAGUCAUGGAGCGAAAAAUUUGCUAAAGUACAAGUCAUCGAUAGGGAUACUUGCCUCUAACAGAAUAACUAGUGACAACACAGUCACGCAACUCGAGAAUAACAUAUUUCCUUGGCAACUCGCUUCUGGGUCAACAUAACUCGAAAUACAAUUCAAGUACUUCUGAUUUUCGUUGGUAACAUCGUCUUGGUCUACUAUAUAUGAUAACAAAAUAAUAAUUUAGUUGACGAACAAACUAGAUUGUCGUCUGAAUCAAGAAAUUGAAUCAAAAUCUAAUACUACCCUUCGUGGUAUGUAUAUAAUUUCUAUGUACCAUUGUUAGACAAUCAUUAUGUACACAUAAUAUUCAUAAUUUAAACACGUAGUCAUAUUGUCACGUAUCACGAGAUUGACAUGCUUUAUUAUUUAUAAAUAAUCAUAACUAGUAAUCAAAGAAUCUCUGUCCAAAUUUCAAUCAGAAUCUGAAUUAUAACCUUAAUUCGAUUCUCAAUUAAAAUCCAAAUCUUAAUAAUAAAUAAAUUCGGACAGCACUUCCUUUAUAGUAUAACAAUCCCAACAACCAACAUUCAACCCAAUAUUGAUUUAAUCGCCAAUCAACAAUUUGAUAACUACACAUGUUAUUAACAUCAGCUAACCGAUACAAUAUUUAAAUAACUAAAGUCCGGAAGGUAGGUACAACAUGAGGCAUGUUUCACAGUCAUUCUAAUAAUGCAGCUUGCACUCUAUCACAAAUAAGCAAAAAUAUAUUAAUUUCAAUAAUAUUAUUAAUACUAUUAUUAUCAUUAAUUAAAACAACAACAACAACAACAAUAAUAAUAAUAAACUGAAAUUAACAUCUUGGUUUUUGAGUUUUGAAAUCAAGCCCUGUCCGGCAGCCCACCCCAGACAGCCCCGGACCACCAGCUUCGUCGGAAUCUCAGCGGCUCCUCCCCUCGCCGGAUUCCUUCUCCACCACUGGCCUCUCUCCAUAUCUCUCUCUCUGGCCCGUUGCUGCAGCACGCCGCCACACCUCAUCGGCGUCGAGGCGGCGCUGUCUACCACUGUCCAAUCGCGGCCAUGCCGCCCUGUCCCAGCCACCUCUAUUCCUGUCAGCACAAACCAACCUCUUUCCCCUUGCUUUCUCACGCAGCAGCGGCGCUGCAACCCAACAGCCCGCCCCUGCUUUAUCAUGUGCAACUCCGGCGAGCGCGUCACCGUCGCUGGCCGCUCCGCCAGCUCCGACACCAGCCCAGACUUCCACCCACACCCAGCCGAACCAUCAAUACAACAACAAUCAACCCAACUACAAACACAUAGUCCAUACAACAGAUAUGUAUGUAUAAUCACACAAGAAAUACACAAGAUCCUCACCUGUGCAGAUGCUUCAAAUCAAUUGAUGGAUUUUAAAGAAAAGGAGGAACCCUAGUUUUCUCUCGGCCGCCUCCUGAUUAUCUCAUAUAAACUGACCUAAUGCUAUUUUCCUUUUUAUUCAACUCUGUCUUAGACACGUAGGUGAGAUGCAGCUACUGAUGCUUCAUUGCUGCUAACUGGUUUUAAAAUUAAAAUUAUAAGUCACACAGAAAUUUUAUAUACAACUAAGUAAAUGAUAAUUCUAAUUUAAGGGCUUCAAAAUAUUUUCAAAACUACAACUAAAAUAUCCAAAAUUUCCUAAAAUGUAUAAACGAAAUACAUCCGUGAAAUUUUUUAUUUUUAAUUCCUUUUAAUUAUUUAAAUUAAAUUAUCCAAUAAAAUAAAUUUUUUAAAGUGCAAAUAAUUAAAAUAAUUAUCUGCGAGAUUUAUAAAUAUUUUAGAAUCAGUUAAACAUAAAAAUACCAUAAUUGAAGUAUUCUGGUAAUUUUAAUUGGACAAAAUUUUGUAAUAUAAUUAAACAAAGAUUUUGAUACUUUUAAAUCAAAAAAUAACUUUGAUUUAUAAAGAAAAAGUCUAAUAGACCCGAUUCCUAAAUUACUCACUCGGACAAACAAAUAAACAAAUAUAAUUUCACAUUUAACACGUAACACAAUUAAAUCAAACAAUCUCGUUAAAUUCAGAUCAUACUGCAAUUGCUACUAUUAUUCACAAAAUCAAAAAAAUCAAUAAAUCAAUAAAAUCUCAAUUUCUUGAAAAUUCAUUUUCUUUGCAAAUAACAAAAAUAAUCACUUGCAAAAUUUUAAACAUAUGAAACAACUCAAAAUAUAGAAUAUCAUCAAUUGAAUAUUUUUGUAACUUAAAUUUAAUAAAACGAUUGGUACAAAUAAAUACCAAUUAAAAUAUGAACUAAAAAGAUAAUUUUGAAUUAUCUCAAAAUCACCAAAUAAUGGUUUUACUAAAAUAAACAAUAAUUUGUCAAACAAAUUUAAAUCCGAAAAGGCAGAUAAAUAAAUAAUGCAUUUAACAAUUGAUCACAUAAAUGCAGCAACUCACAAAAAUUGUUUUUGGAAAUACACAAAUUGGAAUAAAAUAUAAAAUUUUAUUCCUCCUCCUUUUAGAAAAUUAAUACCAACUAAUAAUUAAUUAAAGAAAAACCCGGGUCAUUACAGACUUCCCCUCUUAUAAGAAUUCCGUCCUCGCAAUCAGCGAAGAGAGUACGAGAGUAUAGGAUUGCUUGUAAGUCGCAUCGUGUUCCGCUUUUCUAAUUGUAUUCUUAUACGAAAUCUUGAAAUGCAUUGGUAGAAUUAGCUCGCGCGACCUUGCUGGCAUACCCUCAAAAUUGAUUGGAACUGGAAUUAUGAAAUCUUAAAAUGUCUCGGAAUUUUAAUAUCAAAGUAAUUGUUAUACUUAAUAUUUUCCAAGGCAAAAUUGAUUGGAAAUAAAGAAGCACUGAGAGAUCAAUAUGAUCCGGAGAACUUAAUGUUGCGUAUCUUUAUAAAGAUACUACUAAAGGUAAUGCACAACACACAAGUGAUGGCGUCCCAUCAAACUUCUAUCACACAGACAGAUAGUCCUUGUGUCCCCUAUAAGUAGGGUUUUUCAUCUCAGUUAGAGUAGAAAAUAUGUGAAAGUGAUUUAAAACAAAAUAAUUAAACAAUGACUUUUGACGAGUCAAUUUCUGAUGCAUACCUUGGAUUAAAAUUGAGGAAUUUCCAAAGAUGCAAAUUUCCGGAGGAAAAGAAUAACCGAAAAUUAUUAUACAUAACGAGUAAAUGGUGAUAACUUGAAGAAAAAAAAUCAUUCACCACUUAGAGAAAUGAAAUUUAAAUUAUCAAAUGCGAUCUCUAUCAUGCUUCAACCCAAUGCGGGUAAAUACAAGUAUAGCAAUACGACUCAAGAGAGAGUAUACACUUUUUAACAAACAUCUUUAUGGAAGAGAUGUUAAAACAAAUAAUUGAUGAGAAAAAUAAUCAAUAUAAUUAUCAAUAAUGAGGAAGAUAUUGCCAAUAUAAUCACAUAUGUCUUCUCGAUUGAUUCUUCUGAUGACUUGUUUUGAUUCUAACAAUUCUUCUCGAUGUACUUAUAUUUUGGCUGAUUCGUAUUCGACUCUAAAGAUUCCUUCACCGCUAUCCACUUUAGUAAAAAGUCUAUUCAGCUGGACACAGUCAGGAGCCAUCUUCAACUUUAUACAAUUGGCAUUGUAGAGCGUUGGCGUUCUAGCCUACUCGUAGCACUAUAUCAAAUAGCCUAACACGAAUUCCAUAUAACUCUCAAAUCAAAGAAUCUCUAACCCAACAAAUCUAAUACUCAUUCAAUAUAUAUCUCUUGAAAAUUUAUAAAUGACCCUCUACCAAUACUCAAAAAGUGGUAGAGAUGAAAAGAAAUAUUCUAGACUAGACAGGUUUACCCACGAGUCUAGCUGACAUUGGUUACUCAGAGGUCAACCUCAAACUUAAGAAGAUUGGAAACUAAAGGUUCCAUCUUACUUCCAUGAAAUCCAAACUCACUAUUUCUGGAACUGGAAACUAGGAUAUAUCCAAAAUGAUUACUCAGAAUCAAUACUCCAACUCGAUCUCACUCCUAUUGACAAAGACUAUACCCAAUAGUCUUGAAUUACCUCUAUAUGAGGUUCCACUCAACACAUCUCUAAUCAUAAUCUACAUUUUGAUUUCAAUAACUUGUAACCUGUAGCUCUGAUACCAACUGUGACAUCCCCAAAAUCCGGGGGUCUGGAUUUGGUGCCACUAAAAAAAAUCAUUUAAAAACCUGUAUUUGCGGAAAAAGGUAAAAACAUUAAAUAAAAUCUGGACAUUUUAAAAGAGAUUUAAAUCAAAAUCACUUUGACCCCCUAAAAACAGGAUCGCUAAUAGGUUACGACACUGAAAUCAGAAAUCAAAUAUUACAAUCUUAUUACAACUUAAACUACAUUAUCAAUUAAACCUCGAUAAGAAGAGUAACUGAUAACCAAAUAAAUAAAUCUAUUUACAACUAAACUGGAAUGGAACAAUUCUAACCAUAAUUGGUUUCACAGACGUCUCCCUGGCAUUCUCGCCUAACAUCAAUCUUACGCGCAGCUUUACC
rnacentral:lncRNA from 1 species